UACGUAGGGGGCUAGCGUUGUCCGGAAUCAUUGGGCGUAAAGCGCGCGUAGGCAGCCCGGUAAGUCCGUUGUGAAAGUCAAAGGCUCAACCUUUGAAUGCCGAUGGAUACUGCCGGGCUCGAGUCCGGAAGAGGCGAGUGGAAUUCCUGGUGUAGCGGUGGAAUGCGCAGAUAUCAGGAGGAACACCGAUAGCGAAGGCAGCUCGCUGGGACGGUACUGACGCUAAGGCGCGAAAGCGUGGGGAGCGAACAGG
rnacentral:rRNA from 1 species